UACGUAGGGUGCGAGCGUUGUCCGGAAUUAUUGGGCGUAAAGGGCUCGUAGGCGGCCAACUAAGUCCGACGUGAAAUCCCAAAGCUUAACUUUGGAACUGCGUCGGAUACUGAGAGGCUUGAGUGUGGCAGAGGGGGGUGGAAUUCCACGUGUAGCAGUGAAAUGCGUAGAGAAUGUGGAGGAACACCGAUGGCGAAGGCAGCCC
rnacentral:rRNA from 1 species